AUUGAACGCUGGCGGCAUGCUUUACACAUGCAAGUCGAACGGUAACAGGUUAAGCUGACGAGUGGCGAACGGGUGAGUAAUGCAUCGGAACGUGCCCGGUCGUGGGGGAUAACGCAGCGAAAGCUGCGCUAAUACCGCAUACGAUCUGAGGAUGAAAGCGGGGGACCGUAAGGCCUCGCGCGAUCGGAGCGGCCGAUGUCAGAUUAGGUAGUUGGUGGGGUAAAGGCUCACCAAGCCAACGAUCUGUAGCUGGUCGGAGAGGACGACCAGCCACACUGGGACUGAGACACGGCCCAGACUCCUACGGGAGGCAGCAGUGGGGAAUUUUGGACAAUGGGCGAAAGCCUGAUCCAGCAAUGCCGCGUGCAGGAAGAAGGCCUUCGGGUUGUGAACUGCUUUUGUACGGAGCGAAAAGGUCUCCUCUAAUACAGGGGGCUCAUGACGGUACCGUAAGAAUAAGCACCGGCUAACUACGUGCCAGCAGCCGCCGUAA
rnacentral:rRNA from 1 species